UUUUAUGGUGGCUGUGCGCAGGGCGCCCUCGGGUGCGCCGGACUUUGCCUAUUUGCCGGUCGACUAACCUGCGUACAGCCGCCACCCAA
rnacentral:antisense_RNA from 1 species